UACGGGGGGGGCAAGCGUUGUUCGGAAUUACUGGGCGUAAAGGGCUCGUAGGCGGCCAACUAAGUCAGACGUGAAAUCCCUCGGCUUAACCGGGGAACUGCGUCUGAUACUGGAUGGCUUGAAUCCGGGAGAGGGAUGCGGAAUUCCAGGUGUAGCGGUGAAAUGCGUAGAUAUCUGGAGGAACACCGGUGGCGAAGGCGGCAUCCUGGACCGGUAUUGACGCUGAGGCGCGAAAGCUAGGGGAGCAAACGGG
rnacentral:rRNA from 1 species